UACGUAGGGGGCAAGCGUUGUCCGGAAUUAUUGGGCGUAAAGAGCUCGUAGGCGGUUUGUUGCGUCGGCUGUGAAAUCCCGAGGCUCAACCUCGGGUCUGCAGUCGAUACGAGCAAACUAGAGUGUUGCAGGGGAGACUGGAAUUCCUGGUGUAGCGGUGAAAUGCGCAGAUAUCAGGAGGAACACCGGCGGCGAAGGCGGCUGCCUGGACCAGUCCUGACGCUGAGGCGCGAAAGCUAGGGGAGCAAACAGG
rnacentral:rRNA from 1 species